rnacentral:lncRNA from 1 species
CUCUUUCUUUUUUUGGAAAUUCAUAGGGUCAGAUUGAACUAGUAAAAGUUGAGCCAAAUGAAUCACAAGAAAUUGUUCGAGUUAAGGUAGAACAAGGUUCAUUGUCUGACACCAGCAUAUCGUCCUCGGAAGACAUGCCGGAUUCAUUAAGUACAACAUUUCACGCCUUUGCACUGGAAAGUAUGAUGGAUGUGAGAUGCCAGGACUCAACUGACAUCGAGUUCUUAGUGGACUCCAACUACCUAGAGGAAUCCCAGGAUUUGAUGAAUUGGGAGGAGCCCACGCAGGAAGACCUGAUGGAGCCCGCGGUGCAGGAGGCCCUGAUGGAGCCCAUGGUGCAGGAAGCCCUGAUGCAGCCCAUGGUGAGCAAGAUCCUGGUGGAGCCAAUGGUGCCUGAGGACCUGAUGGAGCUGGCAGUGCAGGAAGAAAUGCAGGAGGACCACCCCUCCUCAGGCAUGGCUACCGGCUCCGGCACUCAGGUGCACCCAACCACAUUGUGCCACAUCGUCAGCAGUCCUGACCUCUGGCCUGCGGAGGAAACGUCCAGGAAGCAACACCCUGGGAAAGUGAAGCUCUCACUCUCAGAUGGCAGGGACACCAAAUGCUUCUGCUCUGCAUUUCAACUUUGCACAUUCACUGAGGAACUUGAGAACUCUUCCAAAGCCUCCACCCAGGAGCUGGAGCUGCAGAUGGAACAGCAGGAGGAGAAGCCAAAGAUGCAUCAGGAGGAGGAUCUGCAGGUACAGCAGUGGGAGGAGCUGCAGGUGAAGCAGUGGGAGGAGGUGCAGAUGGAGCAGAAAGAGAAGGCAAAGAUGCAGCAGCAGGAAGAGGAGCCAAAGAUGCAGCAGAAGGAAGAGCCACAGAUACAGCAGGAGAAGCCAAAGAUGGAGCAUCAGAAGGAGAUGCUUCAGGUGCAGCAGCAGGAGGAGGAGCUACAGCUACAACAGCAGGAGAAGUCAAAGAUGGAGCCACAGGAGAAGCUGCAGAUGUAGGAGAAAGAGAAGCCAAAGAUGCAGCAGCAGGAGAAGCUGCAGGUGCAGCAGCAGGAGGAGCCAUGGAUGCUUCAGAAUCAGGUGCUUGAGGAAGAGCAGAGACAGGAGCAGCAGCCACAACAACAGCAGGUGCAGGAGCAGCUGAGGCAGCAGAAUGGUGUCAUCUCGGAGAACCAGGUGGUACGGACACAUCUGUAAAGCCAGCCUGGCAUAUCUAUGCGUCUCCACAGUAACUCUGUUGUACCUGUGCAGACUCAGUUCAGAGUCUCACCCCUUCAAAUGAGCACUGAGCAACAACCCUCUAGCAGCAAUCAAGAUAAAGACUCUGAGAAUGGGGGAGAUGGGAGUCCCAGCUAAGAGGUGUAGGAAACAGGGAGAGGGGCUGGUGUGCCUGCUUUCCCCUCAAGACUGGACACCAGGCCUGAGAUCACAGAUGAAUGACUCGGCCAUGGGCUGCCAGCAGCCCUCUUCUGAGUAGCAGCUGGCUGCCAACUCUUCUUGCCCUGUGGCCACUGGCCACCCUGCCUCUGUAUAUGUGGUAUCUGACUAAGCAUCGGUGCGUGGACCAGAGGAUCUCCUACAGGAAAAGCACUAGAUGAGGAAGCCUCCAAGCCAGGGAACUAGCACCCAAACUCUGAAAUCACGUGACUUGGCUCCGCCCACCCUGGGCACAGGGCGUCUGUAGGGGAGUUGCCGAGUGGUAGAGUGGUCAGAGUUGACUGGGCUUUCAGGUCCACUGUCCACCUUCCCUCGAACCGGUGAUGACAGUAGUUGAGGUGAAAGGCUCUUCAUGGCAGUGACAAUGGAUGUGAGGCUAGUGGAAGUGAAACACUCUUCACAUUGCCGUCAAUGGCCACGGCACAUAAAGCCUUAGUCCUGUGUGGCAUUAUGGAGGCACACACACGUUUCUGUUCAACAGUAAAGUCAUUGGCUCCAAGCGCCAGAAAAAGAAGGCUCUGCCCAGCAAAAAGCAAAACCAAAAAGCAAAUAAAAGCAGCAGCAAUACAAGCAGAGGUGAUCCCUCUCAGCAGCCAUACUCGCUAUGUUUACACCAAAAGCAGUGUGCCUCACGCACCUGCUAGUGGCCCUCACAUACCGAGGGCCAAUACUCUGAGACCCCUGUCACUGUCACUGUCAGCUCUCUUCUCUUGCAGUAUUCAUCCUGCAGAACAACAGGGGACCUGCAUGGGUGCAGCCGCAUAGGCAAAUAGCUCUGAGUCAAUUUCCACUCCCGCCUUGUCACGGUCACCUGUAAGUCCUCCCUCUGACUUCAACACAGAGGACUCCAUACAAGUGUGGCUAGACUCCCCAGAUUCAUAGGAUGUCUUCCUGGAGCUGGACAGUUGGUCUGUUAGUGAUCAGAGCUCCUCUCGUGACCAGGCCACCUGGCAGCAGGUACGCUAUUGCCUUCUCCUUUGCCUCCAGCCCAGGUCAGGAGGGAUUCCGUCUCUUCCCUGUAUGCACACACUCUAGGAGUGCACUGUGUGUGUGAAAUCCAGACUUCAGAGCUCAGUGCAUGAGAGAACGAUGACUCACAUGACUGCAGCAUGCGCUGCUGAGCGCCACUGUUCUCCGAAGGACUCUGAAAAAGUGGGUUGCCGCAGUGGGGCUCUGCAGAAUCCGACUUCUGCACUGCUCUUGAAAAUAUGCUCCCUGAUGGGCCGGGCGUGGUGGUGCACGCCUGUCAUUCCAGCACUCUGUAGGCUGAUGCAGGAGGAUUCCCUUGAGUUCGAGGCCAGCCUGGGCUAGAAGUGAGUUCAAGGCCAGCCUAGGCUACAUGGCGAGGCCCUGACUCAAAAAAAAAAAAAUCCCUUGAGUAGAGUGAGCCAGGCAGGCAGUGAUUUUAAUGCUGAUCUCCUUGCCCAUGCCUGGCCCCCAACCUGCCUUUGUGGAUCUUCAGUUCUGCUACAAAAUCUAGAGCCAUGUAUGGGUGUACUUCCUCAAAUUGGAAACAACAACCCAAAGCAGGCACCCAAGGCCCCUCUGUUGAGAGCACUUGGUGUCCAUCUUAGAGGGCUUUGUAUUACGUGGGACAGAUGCACCUUGGAGGCCUGCAGUGGCCACUUUUCCAGCAUGGGAGCUGGACCAGAUGGCAAUAACACAGGAUUCUACUCCCACGAAUCUUCCCCCAGGUGCUACGUGGACCAUAUACAUUCCACCUGACCGAGAAACAUCACUUCUGAAAGGUGUUUACACACUGGCAUUCUAAAUCUUAAAAUAGCGUAACACCCCCCCCCAAGCAACAACAGCAACAAAACAAAGAUACAUAAACAGUGAGUGAAAGGAAAAUGAGACCUUAGUUAUUUCAAAGAACUAAAUGUAUGAUUGUUGUCACACAUCUUCACAGCCCAGCCACCAUGGCCACCAGAAAGAAGCCAGAAGGGUCAAUGGGUCCAGUGGUUCCAUUGCCGAACUGCAUUCCGGAAGGACCCUUCCUCAUGCCUGCUUUUAAGAUUGAUCAUCUUUGAUGGGGCCCUGCAGGUCAGAGUGGGAGUGAGCUAAGCAGGUAGCCGGGAGAAGCUGAGAAUCGGGUGCCGUGAGGUUGCUCAUUGGCAGAAAGUAGUAGAGUGACCCCGGGCAGGCCAGCAUUGGGUCUUGCACCCUGAGGCCAGCCUUCCCAUCUCAGGUCCACUGCCCAGAGCCCAGCACUCCUGCUCCUCCUCCUCCUCCUUCAUCCCAUUGAGUGAGGCUUGUUCAAGCCCUCCCUCAUGUCUAAACGGAGCCCUGGUGACCCCUGCUCCUCAAAAUGGAAAAGAGCCACACAGCCACCUGCUGCAAUGCUGUCUUUCCAUCAUUCUCCUGCACACUUCAGCAUGUGUCACUUUGUUAAAAUGGAUCAAAUAGCUGCAAAUCAGGGUCAGCUUUGGAAGCGACUGAGUCCAGGGCCCUGGGCUGUGGCUAUGGAAGGACUGGGUGUGGGAGGAUGGACAGAGACCCAGCAGCUUUAACGCAGGUUUGGGAAGGUGGAGGUCCGCUGCUGCUGAUGGGGAGAGGCAAGAGGGGGAGGAGCCUUUCUUUCUGCUCCCCCGUCCCCCAGCACCUUGCAGGCUCAGGGUGCACAGAGGCACUUCUCAGCCCAAGGGAUCCCCCCUACACCAUGAGGGUGGCUCCAUCCAAGCAUUUCACCUCCUCCUCUUUUCUCAGCCCAAGGAAGCACCCGAGGCAGGUGGGCUGGCCUCUCCUAUGAACCAGCCCGAAGGGAGACGCUUCAUUCCUGUAGAAGAGUAUAACUUGAAGGAUCUGCAGGGUCAGCAGAGCCCUCCUCCCCAGCCAUGAGAGGAAGGUGGCAGUGCAGGCGGGCCAUGGCCCUGCCCCUUGGUGUCUGGUGGGGGCAAACAUUUCCCUUUUCCCCAGAAGUUGUAUUUGCUCUUGUUUGUUAAACAUAGCCUGUUUGUUGGAAGUUAUGCUGCAGAAGCAGCCUUUGAUACCUAGUUUGCUGACUGCUGUCCCCUGCCCGCCACCCCCAGCUUCGCCUGUACAUGAUCUACCAUGGGCAGGCUGGCUACAGUGUUCUCAAGUUAAAUGCCAUUUUUAUGCCAACAAAAGUUGACUGAGUGGUUUGCAUUCUAGUAAGAAGUGCUCAGUGUUAGCCUAAGGGAAACCCAGCAGGAAUGGGUCUCCAACUGUGUAAACUUAGAAUCUCAACAAAGGUGCUUGGGAGCUAAUUCUAGCUUCUUUGCUUAAUAAAAAUUUUCAUUUGUUGCAACUCUGUCAGAAUUUACUCCGACUGACUUUGAGGUCCCAGGAA